ensembl:lncRNA
AGACAGAAACAGUCUUAUGAAAAAAUUUUACCAAGUCUUGAGCAACUGUUAGCCAGAAAGAAGAGAGAUGAGGGGAAGGGAGUAGAGAGAGAAAAGCAGUGUCAACAAGAGCAUCUGAACUGUUCAGCCUUGGAAGAGCGACUGAGAGGGGACUUUGCUGAUGUCUGUCAGUAUCUGAAGGGAGGGUGCCAAGAGGAUGGAGCCAGGCUCUGCUCAGUGGUGCUGAGAAAUGGGACAAGAGGCAAUGGGCAGCAACUGAGGCACGGGAAGUUCCUGAUCAUGAGGAACAAGUUCUUUACUGUGCUGGUGACUGUACACUGGAACAGAUUGCCCAGAGAGGUGGUGGAGUCUCCCCCACAGGAAAUAUUCAAGAACUGCCUGGAUGCAAUCCUGUGCCCUGUGCCCUGUGCUCUGGGAUGACCCUGCUUGGGCAGGGAGGUUGGACCAGAUGACCCCCUGUGGUCCCUUCUAACCAGACCCAUUCUGUGACUCUGUGAUUCUACAAUAUUAGGCUCUACUGUAUCUGCCUAAGAACAGGCUUUUACUGGAAAAAUUGAUAAGUGGUAACCAAUAGUUUUUCAUCCAAAUCUGCAUUAUAUAAAUUUUUACAUAACAUGCAAGGACUAAGAAAAUAUACUACAAAUUUCAAUGUCUUCCUAAAAUAUUUGUCCCGUCUGUCUAUAAAGAGGAAGUUUAAUAGUACACUUUUUUUUUUUUUUUUUACCAUUGGCUGUAAUAUCUUUUGUCUUUCUUGUCAUAAAACAGCACUGUGAGGCAGAAGAAGUACUUUUCUCCUCAUAUGCAAAAGGGAACUGAGAACACGUGUCGUACAUUUUCUGUGUUGUUUUAUGCCUUGAUUUUAUUUCAGAUUUUCCAAAGAUUCAAAAUUUCAAGUGUACACCAUGGCAUGAAAUCUAAGAGAGCAAUUUGACUUACAUUUCAGUGUCUGCACUCUAAGAAUUUUCACCUGAAUGAACUCCUGUAUAAUCAAUGAAGACCUAGCCACCAUAGGCAGGGAGCUCAGGGAGGCUUUCAGAUAAUCAGAUGUGUUUCCCUGUAGACACCUGUCUAUAUGCAGACAUUUCCACUGUAGACACUGACUGGGAGAACCCCAAGUGCAGCUGGAUAUGCUGGUACCUCUGCAUCCUGGCUGUGUCCAUGACAAUAUGCAGCAACAGCCCUUCUCGGCGUGCCCUGUGGCUGAUGGAGAAUGGACAUGUCAGCCAAGGAAUGUGUGAUUGAUGUGGAAGUUGCAGUGGCCCUACAUCACAUAUGGCACAGACAGCUGAGGUCUGCAGGUCUCUGGAUUCCAUGCAGCCUCAUCCUUUGAGCAAGGUGGUCACAGACCAGCUACUGAGCGAGGCAGAUAAGGAACAAAACUCUGUCAGGAAAUAUUCUGGCUGUUAGCCCACCCUCUGUCCUAUGGGAUAAUACAGGUAUAAACAGCAGAAUUCAGACCAGAUCCCAUGGGAGUCAGGCACUGAGCUCCUUUGGGAUUUUGUCUCCACAUGAAUUAUUGCAGGUUAUAGAUGAAGUCUUUAAGGCAGAAUAUAAACAAACUGUGGCAUGCCAAACCUUAGGCUAAUGUUUUACACCUAAAUAAUCCAUCUUGAAGUGUCUCAUGAUUAUUUUUCAUUUUUCUGAAGUACAUUAAUUUAAAACACUUCUAUGAGAUAUAGAAAUAAAUGUGAA